GGGCAAGCGUUAUCCGGAAUUAUUGGGCGUAAAGAGUGCGUAGGUGGUACCUUAAGCUCAGGAUUUAAGGCAAUGGCUCAACCAGUGUAUGCCUUGCGAACUGGGUUGCUUGAGUGCAGGAGAGGAAAGCGGAAUUCCUAGUGUAGCGGUGAAAUGCGUAGAUAUUAGGAGGAACACCAGUGGCGAAGGCGGCUUUCUGGACUGUUACUGACACUGAGGCACGAAAGCGUGGGUAGC
rnacentral:rRNA from 1 species